AUUCCUGCGCUGAACUUGGCGGAGUCCAGCGGCUGGCGUACCUUCCCUGGGCUCCUCCGCUUCGGAGAGCAUGCUGUCGGGGUGCACAGCCACAGGCGCCACCGCCACGGACAUGGACGUGAGGCUGCGAGGCUCCUAGACGACAUCCUGCUUCACCUUCCCCCUUCCGCUGGCCAGAUGUCCACAGAUGUCCACCUGGGCCUCGGAGGAACCUCACCACAGCUGUCUGCUACACCAAUGAGAUGCCUUCUGCGACUCUAUAGCUGGAGUGAAGAAGCAGCACCUUUUGAAGCUACAUCCUCUUUUGACCUCUCUCAAAGCCAGUCUCAGGCCUCUCCUUUUCAACGAAGCCUACCGAGGCCAGUGGUGAAUUUCUCCAUGCAACUUCUACUGUUGACCUAUAAUACAUGUUGAGUACUUUGAAGAGGCUAUAUAACCAAUAAAAUAGUCAUUUCAACAUUUCAUUAUACAUUGAGUUAUGACAACAUGUAAGAGUAAACUGUAUUUCCUCCACCAUAAAGUAUAUUAUGGAACCGUCAAAAC
ensembl:processed_transcript C030005K06Rik uncharacterized LOC115065518